GAUGAACGCUAGCGGAAGGCUUAAUACAUGCAAGUCGAGCGGUAGGUGGCUUCGGCCAUUGAGAGCGGCGCACGGGUGAGUAACGCGUACAUGGCCUGCCUGUCAGAAGGGGAUAGCCCUGGGAAACUGGGAUUAAUACCCUAUGGUAUUGAUAUUAUGAAUGAUAUCACUUAAAGUUGAGGCGCUGACAGAUGGAUGUGCGUCUGAUUAGCUAGUUGGUAGGGUAACGGCCUACCAAGGCGACGAUAAGUAGGGGGCGUGAGAGCGUGGUCCCCCACAAGGGUACUGAGACACGGACCCGAAUCCUACGGGAGGCAGCAGUAAGGAAUAUUGGUCAAUGCCCGCAAGGGUGAACCAGCCAUUCCGCGUGGAGGAUGAAGGCCCUAUGGGUUGUAAACUUCUUUUAGAUGGGAAGAAAAUGCUAGAUGUAUCUGGUACUGACGGUACCAUCAGAAUAAGCACCGGCUAACUCCGUGUCAGCAGCCGCCGUAA
rnacentral:rRNA from 1 species